rnacentral:misc_RNA from 1 species
AGUGACACAAAAUGAUCCAUCUCCACCUCUGAAGUUUCCAGACCUGUAUAUAAGACCGUGGUCCCACUGUAUAUCAUUAUACUGUGCUUUAGGCGUAUUUCUCAUUCUGGUUUCCCCUCUCUAUUUUAUCUCAGCUGACUACGGCAUGUGUCGUACUUGUCAGUAAAUCUGGACGGACCUUUUUCGAGUGUCAACGGAUUCAUUAACCGUUUUCGUGAAACGUACGUGGAUAUCGUCCAACUGAUGCAUAAUGACGCGAAGCGAAACCGUCAUUGCCAAGAUGAAACACGUGGAGGAUAGCUUAAAGGACACUCUGUACAGGGUUGAGGUGAUAGAGAAAAAGCUCAGGACCAAAUUGCUCACGACGGAGAACCGCGAGAGGUUGGAGAACGAGUUGGAGGAGGUGAAAGAGGUUCUUAGGAGGAACGAAGAGAAGUUGCAGAGCUUGAGGAAGGAGAAUUCGAAAUCGUUUAUGGUGGCGGCGUGUCUGGUCUUCCUGUGCUUCCUUGUCUACGGAGUCUACGUGAUGAUCACGGAAAAUCACAUUUAAUGCCCGUGUGUGCUUAGCAGAUCCGAAUGUCGGAUUAAAAUUGUUCCGUUGUAUUAGAUAUAACAGCAUGACUCUGAAUGUCCGUUGAUUCAGGAUGUAGCUUGAUAACGACCAGCUGAUUGUACUAGAUCCUUGGCUACAGAUUAAUCUGUAGAAUUAAGCGGUGUAGCUCCUGUAUCACAAUGCAUCAAUAACCAUCAGCAAGAGACGAGAAUUAAGUAAUAACGUGUACGUCGGUAUACACGUUUUCAUGUAAAUGAUUUCAUUGUAAUCAACAUUGUAAGAUACAUAUCAGAUUUAUAUAACGUAUAUACAACUUAUUUUCGAGAUCUUCCGUUUAUACAAUGUCUGUAUCAUGUGUAUAUAUUGCCAAUAUAUAUUGGGUUGGCCAAAAA